rnacentral:rRNA from 1 species
AUGACAAAGUUAAUUGGGAUUUCCUGCUGGAAUGCCAUAAACUUCGGGGUUUUGACCAGAAAUGGUGCGGCUGGGUCGAGCAGAUUCUCCACAAUGGCACGGUUAGUAUUAAACUUAACAACUGUGUGGGGCCGUACUUCCAAAGUGCUAAGGGAGUGCGGCAGGGUGAUCCCACUCACCUUUCCUCUUCAAUCUUGCUGUGGAGUGCCUAACCAAAAUGAUUAA